GGCUGAGUCGCUGUUGGCAGGUGGACCACCGACCCCACUGCCUGAGCUUGGGAGCAGGUCAUGAGGGAAGAUAAACUGAAGCUGAGCCAAGCUGAAUUGGAGGCAUCUGAGACAAGAACGUGCGGACGCCCAGUGGACGAUCCAGGCAGGUUGGGGUGUUGGGGAUGGAGCCGUGGAUACACCCAUACUCAACAGGCAGAGGGAAUAGAUAUUCAACGGGGGACCGGGGUGUCAACAGAUGUAUCCGAGUUCAUGCGUGGCAGGGAGCUGGCGGCGGGACCCGUCCCUCCAGCUGGCUCUCCAACCCCAAGCCUGCAUUACGACCACGGCAAAAUGCCAGAAGCCCAGAGAAGCGGGGUUUCUGAAGCGGAUCGUUUGUUCAGCCCGAGUGCGUGGGGCAGGAACGCACCUGGAGGUCAUUAAAGAGAAGUCUUCACGGGGCACUCAAGGCACGCUGCAAAACGACUUUUUAUUUCAAAGGCCAAUAAUGAGAAUAAUGAGUUGCACAAGAAUGAAAACCUUAUCCCUUCCAAAAGAUCGGCCUAUACAUUAUGUAUAAAGUUAAAAUAAUUCUAAAUACAAAAUGCCAAAGACCAGCGGGUCCACUCCUUCCUCUCCUAAGCCAUCUUGACAGUUUCACAUUUCAGCUUCCAGACGUCAUUUCUGUUGCUUUUAAGGGUGCUUACCCAGCCGUGGUCUGUACCAGACAGGGUAGUUGGCACAGCGUAGGCACUGCCAGCAGGCCCUUGGGAGCUUGGCGAGGUGGGAGCCUUAAGAAAUAGCUGGCUCGGACCCAUGGCGGGGUUUGUGUGUCAACUCCCUGGUCCUCAGAGAAUCCCUGAGCCACGGGAGAGCAAACGCUGCUUCCAAAACCAAAGGAGGAAUUUUGCAAUCGUUUAGACGGGUUAUAAUAGAAUCUCAUUCAGAUCUUGAAGGUUAUCGGUGCUUUCUGCUGGUUUUUAUUCCUCAAAAAUGCAGCCAAGCUUUGCUGUGCUUAUCUUGGUGGAUCUGAGCUAGGUUGGGCUAUCUUUUUCUAAUUCAAUUGCCUUUUUUUUUUUGCAAGGAAGGGGGUUUCUGGUCCAUCGGAGGGAUCAAGGGCAUGGUCCUCACGUCUCGUCAGGAGACAAAAAUAGACAUUCAGCAGACAGACCACAGCCAGCGCAUGCGACCAGCGUCGUUUGGCUAUUUUAGUCUCUUCUUAAUACACAGACAAACGAGCAAAGAAAAAGCUACUUUGUCCAACACCGGGCCCUGGGAUGGAGUUUAGCCCUGCUUGGCUCUGCCCGCUAGUCUCAUAGUCAGGUCACUCACCCUAGGCCUGCGGGAACGGUGGUCUUGGUGGUCCUCUCUGGCCCUUCCACCUCUUCUGCCUUGUGGGGACCACCCAAGCCCUCUCCCGACUUGCCCAGAGGCUGCACGCCUCUCUGGCAUCACAGUCCGCACGGAGCCUGGCUGUAAGGCUCCACUGAAAUCCCCCCCGGCGCUGGCUUCGUGCCCCAGGCACACCCACCUCACUUCUGCCUCCUUUCUGCCAGUUUCUGGCCUGUUUGGUCCCAGCCCCUCCCUGCACUCUCUCCGCAGCUGUGUCUGGUGGGUGAUGUGAACCAAGGGACACCCAGGGUCAUGGCACUGCCUGGAUUCAGUUUGGUAAUCGUCGGCAGUCUGUCCCUGGCUUCUAAGCCUGGGGCCUCCUCCUCUUUCUCCCCAUCCUGGAUGAGCAGGACACACUGGGGAGACAGCAUCCUACAAAGGCCUCCUAAGAGCUGUGCCCUGUGCCAGGAAAGCCUCCCGUAUCUCCAAGGAUGUCCCUGGAGCCCUCCAGCUGGUGCCUCUGCUGAGGUCUGUGAGCAGCGGGAAUAGGCCUCUAGGCGAGGAGUUGGGGACAGGCCUCUAGGGGAGAGCACACCUCCGGGUACUGCACCUGUGGCUCACCAGCCACCUGCACGGGGCCAGCUUCAGCCUCAGCAGUGUCAGCUCAACAGACGUGACUGCUGUCAACACAGUGGGGCCAGGCCCUGGAGACUGACAUCUCCUGUGGCUGCCUAUUUAAAGGGCAUGGGAUAAAGAAAGAGUGUGUUAUUUUAAAGCUGGACUACCUAACAGCCUCUGAUAGCAGAUACAGCUUUGCUGCUGUUCUUGAAGUUCAAGGUGAUGUGGAGGUGUUGCAGUGACAAUCAGUACACCGUGAACAACACCUGCCACCAACGUCGACCCUGAAGUGGUAGAUGGGGCCUGCUUUGGCACUUGACGCUGGGGCAGGAGUCCCUUUCUUGGGGACUCACUCUCUACCUCGUCUCCCCCGGGAGUUGUCUACUUUCCUAGGCCCUGCCAGCAGCCCCCACAGCUCCGCCCAGCCCACUCCACCAGCUUGCUGCUCCCAUGGCUCAGCCCCACUCACAGCUCACCCCUCCCAUGGCUAGGCCCCAUCCACAGCUCACCCCUCCCAUGACUAGGCCCCACCCA
rnacentral:lncRNA from 1 species